UCAUGAUAUAUCCAAUGAUGAGAGGUGCAAAGCUGCAGUUCCCUGAGUGCCCACUAAAGGCUGUGUGUAGAACCACAGGCACACUCAUUCAAAGAAGCCCAUCUUUAGAGAAAAAUAAACCUGUUUCCAGCCUGGUCCCAGAACCAGCUUUGACCUAAAAAGCUCAGUCCUCUUUCUGCACACGCUGUUCAGUGAGUGUUUCUUUUUAUUACAUUUUCAUUUUGGGGAAAUUGGUUAUUAAAAUGAUUAAAGUUGACAUUUUUGUCGCAUUAGAGGAACAGUUGGCAUGACUGACAGGUUGGGACACUGUUGGUGGAAAGCAUUGGGGAUAAAAUCCCAUCCCUCCUUCCCAGAUAGGUGCAUCUUUAAGUGAUAAACAUUCAUACAUAUACAGUCAAGCCCAAAAUUAAUCAUACCCCUGGCAAAUUUUGACUUAAAUUUACUUUUAUUCAACCAGCACGUUUUGUUUUAAUUGAAAAUGACACAGGCAUCUCCCUGAAGAUAAUAAGAUGAUGUAAGCCUGCUCCAGCAGCAGCAGCUGUGGGUCUGUGGUCUGAGGUCGUCUGUGGUGGUCUGUGGUCAGUGGGGCGCGUGGACCGGGCAGGUGAAUCACUGCAGGUGCUCUCUCUCUCUCUCUCUCUGCUCUAUGUGUUUCCUCUUUAAAAAGUCUGAUGAAUAUUUGAUCCGCGGUUCGGCCUCCACUUCUCACUAAUCCACAAGCUCCAAUGCGCCAAGACACCGCCGCUGCCGCCGCUGUCUGCCUCCUCUUCCUCUCUGAUCCUCCUCCUCCUCCUCUUCCUCACCUUGCUGAUGAAGAGGAGAUGCUGGACUUUGUGCCUCUGCUGUCUGCGGUCUUAGGAGGAGGAGGAGAAGAAGAAGCAGGGUCUGGCUCGUGCUUCAGUGUCUUCUUCAGUAGCGCUCGAGACGACCGACGGCCGGUGGGGCGCGAGGAGGUGCACUGACUAUCUAUAGCCAACCAGCAACUAAGUUGGAC